CACCAGCGCCACAAGUAGGGACCGGUAUUAUUGGGCCUAAAGCGUCCGUAGCCGGUCUUAUAAAUCUUCUGUGAAAUUGUUUGGCUCAACCAAACAGAGUGCAGGAGACACUGUAAGACUAGAGACCGGGAGGAGUCAGAGGUAUUUCUGGGGUAGCGGUAAAAUGCAAUAAUCCCAGAAGGACCACCUGUGGCGAAGGCGUCUGACCAGAACGGUUCUGACGGUGAGGGACGAAAGCUAGGGGAGCAAACCGG
rnacentral:rRNA from 1 species